GAUGAACGCUGGCGGCGUGCCUAAUACAUGCAAGUCGAGCGAACGGACGAGAAUCUUGCUUCUCUGAUGUUAGCGGCGGACGGGUGAGUAACACGUGGAUAACCUACCUAUAAGACUGGGAUAACUUCGGGAAACCGUAGCUAAUACCGGAUAAUAUUUUGAACCGCAUGGUUCAAAAGUGAAAGACGGUCUUGCUGUCACUUAUAGAUGGAUCCGCGCUGCAUUAGCUAGUUGGUAAGGUAACGGCUUACCAAGGCAACGAUGCAUAGCCGACCUGAGAGGGUGAUCGGCCACACUGGAACUGAGACAUGGUCCAGACUCCUACGGGAGGCAGCAGUAGGGAAUCUUCCGCAAUGGGCGAAAGCCUGACGGAGCAACGCCGCGUGAGUGAUGAAGGUCUUCGGAUCGUAAAACUCUGUUAUUAGGGAAGAACAUAUGUGUAAGUAACUGUGCACAUCUUGACGGUACCUAAUCAGAAAGCCACGGCUAACUACGUG
rnacentral:rRNA from 1 species